UUCGUUGCCCCUGCCGACGUACGGGAGAGCUUCCUUGCCGCCGCCGACGUACGAUCUGCCGCGAUCCCGUUCGAUCUACCCGCUGCCGAUGUACGAGAUCGCCGACACCGAGAUACGGGAUCGCCGCCAACGCACGAUCUGCCGUCUCUCGCUGCCGCCGUGGUACGAUCUGCCGUCUCUCCCAGAGGAGGCGCCGCCGCGGACGUCCGGGAUCACCGCUGCCUACGUCCGGGAUCACCGCCGCCGACCUGCCAGAGGAGACGCCGCCUCCAAUCUCCUAGAGGAGCCGCCGCCGCCGCCGGUCUCCGACGGGAGACGCCGUCGCCGCCGCCGCCGACCUUUGAGGGGAGACGCCGCCGCCACCUGCGCUGAACCCCAGGGCAGGGUGCGACGAUCGUCGCAAGGAGUACUUGCCGGCCGUACACAGGUAUUCUGAACCUUACCAUCCUAUUCUCAUCAUUCACAAAUGUGUUCAGAUAGUUGUUGCUUGUGUCGUUCCUGUUACUAGAGGAGGGCUCCACUGUCUGUGGCCAUUCGCCACUCUGCCUGCAAGCUCGACGCCACAGUUUGACAGGGCCAAGGUGGUAGUAGACGAUGACGAAUAUGGCGCCCUGGCUGUCUCAGUUCAUGAGAUUCCCCUAUGGUGGCCGAAUUUGUAACACACCAGGCUGCUCCCCUCUUGCAAAUCAGAGCUAGCUUAUAUAUUCAUCCAUAGGUCAUGGCUGACUCCAAAGGCAACACUCCUCCGGUCCUCCUGUGCGUGAUGGCAAAGCUAUGCUACAUGAUAUUAUCACCUAUGAGAUUUUAUUUGAAGAACCAUGCAAAGCAAUUUGAGAUGAUGCAUAUAAAGCAUAUUCGAUUUAUUAAGUGUUUUCAAGUAUUCAAUUUAUUAAGAGUUCACUCAUCAUUGCCGACCGUACACAGGCGAGUGAUUCAGGGUUAUUGUUCGAAGUGGCUAUAAUAUGUAGGGGUUAUUGUUCGAAGUGGCUAUAAUAUGUGGCUGCAAACUUGCCGAGGCCAGCAUAAGGAGUGA